rnacentral:rRNA from 1 species
CCUACGGGAGGCAGCAGUGGGGAAUAUUGGACAAUGGGGGCAACCCUGAUCCAGCCAUGCCGCGUGUGUGAAGAAGGCCUUCGGGUUGUAAAGCACUUUAAGUUGGGAGGCGUUACCAACAGAAUAAGCACCGGCUAACUCCGUGCCAGCAGCCGCGGUAAUACGGAGGGUGCAAGCGUUAAUCGGAAUUACUGGGCGUAAAGCGCGCGUAGGCGGCCAUUUAAGCUAGAUGUGAAAGCCCAGGGCUUAACCUUGGAACUGCAUUUAGAACUGGAUGGCUAGAGUAUGGAAGAGGAGUGUGGAAUUUCAGGUGUAGCGGUGAAAUGCGUAGAGAUCUGAAGGAACAUCAGUGGCGAAGGCGACACUCUGGUCCAAACUGACGCUGAGGUGCGAAAGCGUGGGGAUCAAACAGGAUUAGAUACCCCAGUAGUC